rnacentral:rRNA from 1 species
GUGACGAAGCGACGCCGCGUGUGGGAAGAAGGCCUUCGGGUUGUAAACCACUGUCAGGAGUUAAGAAAUGUAAGGGUGCUAAUAGUAUCCUUACUUGACUAAGGCUCCAGAGGAAGCCACGGCUAACUCUGUGCCAGCAGCCGCGGUAAUACAGAGGCGGCAAGCGUUGUUCGGAAUUAUUGGGCGUAAAGAGCACGUAGGCGGUUCUGCAAGUCGGCUGUGAAAGCCUUCCGCUCAACGGAAGAACAGCAGUUGAUACUACAGGACUAGAGUGCGGGAGGGGAGAGUGGAACUUCUGGUGGAGCGGUGAAAUGCGUAGAUAUCAGAAGGAACGCCGGCGGCGAAAGCGACUCUCUGGCCCGUAACUGACGCUGAGUGUGCGAAAGCUAGGGGAGCAAACGGGAUUAGAUACCCCGGUAGUCCUAGCCGUAAACGAU